CAGAAAAAGGGGGGGGGGGGGGAGAAGGGGUGGUGAUGAUGGUGGUGGUGGUUAGACAUGAAGUGCAGUUUCCAUCACCAUCAUCAUCACCACUAUCACCACCACCACCACCUUCCUUUCAUCACCACUAUCACCACUUCUAUCACCUAUCACCACCAACAUCACCAUCUCCUUCCUCUUCUUCAUCACCACUACACCGGUUCUUUUCUCCUUCAUCACCACCACUGUCAUCACCACCAUCACCACGCCCCCCUCACCAGGAACAAACAACACCGCUCUAAGUAGCAUCACCACCACCACCACCCGGGGUACAUCACCACCAUCACCACCACUAUCACCACACCAUCACUGCACCGGGCUCGAGUUGCACCGUCUCCGCUAGGUACUAACGCGCUCACUUACAAACCUACGACGUCAUUUUGUGGGCGGUAAGUAAGUUGGCAGGUAGGAAGCAAAGCACUUAUAAUAAUAAUAGUAAUAGAAGCAGUAAUUAUGAUAACCGAGAUUGUUUGAAUAAAUAACACAACACAACACAACACACGCACGUCAGGAACAAUGUGCUAAAUGCGUUUAAGCGACUGGACGCGCUGCUGCUUCAUCAAGAGAAUCAUGAUGGCCGUGUUUGCCGGAGUGGAAGACGCGCCCAUUUCCUACACAUAUCCUGACCUUUGACCUCAGCACCGGGUGGAGGGUGACCUGCUUGACCUGGAAGUUUGUUAACCUCGGCAGGUCACCUGUAGGUAAUGCGUCCAAGACGCAGUUAAUUUUUCGAAUUGCUCUGAGAAAGAGUGCGUCUUCCACGCCGGCACACACGGUAAAUACUGGCUGGCAAGUUACACUAAAAAAAAAAAAAAAAAAAAAAAAAAAAGAAGGAACAUAUCAACGCGUAUCAGCAACUUGGAAUGGCAGAGGAACAUUUGUAUGGUUGGUCAAGGGGCGACCCUCCACGGUGGAGGGCCAGGCGCUCCAGGAAACACAAGGAACAAAACCAGUGACUUGGAAUGGGUCUGGAAUGGCGCCGUGGAGAAACAAUGCCGUGAGGAACGAGAGAAACACUGAGUGACUCAGUCAUGUAAACGCAAACAUAACAAGGCAGCGCUGGGAUGACAAAUAAAUAGACAAAUAAAUGAAUAAAUAAAUAAAUACAGAUUCAUCGAUACAAAACCUCCAUUACUCUAAUUACGUAUCACCACCACCACCACUAAUAACAACAAUAAUAAUAAUAAUAAUGACAAUAAUAAUAACAAUAACAGCAGACAAAGCCAUCACCACAUUGCCAUGAAAAUGAUAAAAACAAUAAAAACUGACGACGGCAAAAAUAUUAACAAUAAUAAUGAUAAUAAUAAUAAUAAUAAUAAUAAUAAUAAUAAUAAUAAUAAUAAUAGCGAGAGAUCACGGGGGUAAGUUAAGUAAUUCAAUGUUUCCUUAGCCUAUGUUUUUUUGCUUUAUCUUACUUGCUGGCUUACUUAACUAGUCUUACUGGCAGCAACACACACACACACACACACACACACACACACAAGUUGGCAGCUGGUGGGUAGUAGUAACAAGCACAUUCAUACAUGCAGACACACGUACACCAAUCAUUCACACAUACAUACACACAUACAUACACACACAUUGGCGGACUAAUAUCACAUCCCCGGACUGAACCCACCAAUCACAGCCCACCUUUUUUGGCAAUGAGGAAGCCCAUUGGUGGAUCGGUCCUGGCGAUGCACCAAUGGGCGGCUCCUCUCCCCUGCACUGGCUUGGCGGGGGAAGGCUAGUGGCUGGUUGUAUUUUGAACACACCAAUGAAGAUUUAGAGUUUAUCACAAUGUUUAACCCCACCACGCGUGGGAGCGGUGCUCAUCUCCGUCACACUGGCCCUUAAGUGAAUAAGAACGUAAGGAGUCUGCAAGAGGCCGGUAGGCCUGUACAAGGCAGCUCCUGUGAAAUGUUCCUUGAGCCUGUGGUGGGAAGAACCCACUACUCCGGGACACAGGCCCAAUGUGACAUCCGGGUCACCACAGUUUACCUUCCCCAGGUGCCAGGUACACAUUUAUCCACCAGCCCCAAAGGGAGGAGGAACAGCUGGGUGAGCUGUACACCGAAUGCCCGGGCCGGGGUUUGAACACAGGCCCACGGAUUCGUAGCAAAGCACGCUAAGCACUCGACCACAGAGUGGUCAAAUUCGUUACCACCUCUUUCCAAGCUAGACACGCAGGGGGGUGGAGUGAGACAGGCAGGUGUGUAGGCAGGCCAAUCAAGGCCCCCACACCUGCCGCCUCUCCUCAGGUGGGCACACACAGGUGGGUUCCGUAGCGAAGCGGGGACACCUACGUCACUACACACAGACGGACACCGACGGAUGCACGGACAGACAGACAGACAGACAGAUAGAUUGACAGACGUACGUUCGGAUUGUGAGCUGGACUGACUGACUGACUGACUGGAUACAAAUAAACACAGACAAUUCGGUAUAUUUUAACUGACUGACUGAGAUUGAAGGGACAGACAGACAGGCAGAGAUGCAGACAGACAGACAGACAGAAACACCGGGGGACUUUGACUUAAAAAUGACUGGACUGACUGACUGACUGGUUGACUGACUGACUGAUUGGCAAAACUGGGACUGGACAGACAGACAGACAGACACCAUGGAAGCUUUUGACAGUUAAAAUGAUUGACUGCCUGACUGAUUGACUGACUGACUGACUGACUGACUGACUGACUGGCUGACUGGUACUGGACUUGAAUUGAAUGAGUAUCUAUGUAGUAAGCUAUUAUUUUUUUUUCUUGUUUUUUGUAGUUGUUUGAUGAUGGACUAUUGUGUGUGUGUGUGUGUUGUGUGUGUGUGUGUGUGUGUGUGUGUGUGUGUGUGUGUGUGUGUGUGUUUGGGGUGAAAAUACUGGUUGAUUGUAGGUCUGAUUUGGUUUGGUUAGGUAAGGUAAGGUAAGGUAAGGUAAGGUAAGGUAAGGCUAGGUUAGGUAAGGUUUGGUAAGGUUUGGUAAGGUAAGGUAAGGUAAGGUUAGGUAAGGUUUGGUAAGGUAAGGUAAGGUUAGGUAAGGUAAGGUAAGGUAAGGUUAGGUAAGGUAAGGUUAGGUUAGGUUAGGUAAGGUAAGGUUAGGUAAGGUAAGGUUAGGUAAAAUUAGGUUAGGUUCAGUAAGGCAAGGUUAAGUUAGAUCAGAUCAGGUAAGGUUAAGUAUGGUAAGGUUAGGUAAGGUAAGGUUAGGUAAGGUAAGGUUAGGUAAGGUAAGGUUGGGAAAGGUAAGGUUAGGUUAGGUAAGGUUAGAUUUGGUUAGGUAAGGAUACAUUAGGUUAGAUUAAGUAAGGUAAGGUAAGGUUAGGUCAGAUUAGGUAAGGUUUGGUUAGGUAAGGAUACAUUAGGUAAGGUUAAGUAAAGUAAGGUAAGGUAAGGUAAGGUUAGGUAAGGUAAGGUUAGAUUUGGUUAGGUAAGGAUACAUUAGGUUAGAUUAAGUAAGGUAAGGUAAGGUAAGGUUAGGUUAGGUAAGGUAAGGUUAGGUAAGGUAAGGUAAGGUUAGAUUUGGUUAGGUAAGGAUACAUUAGGUUAGAUUAAGUAAGGUAAGGUAAGGUUAGGUCAGAUUAGGUAAGGUAAGGUAAGGUAAGGUUAGGUUAGGUAAGGUUAGAUUUGGUUAGGUAAGAUUAAGUAAGGUAAGGUAAGGUUAGGUCAGAUUAGGUAAGGUAAGGUGGGGUGAGGUAAGGUAAGGUAAGGUAAGGUGGGGUAAGGUAAGGUAAGGCAAGGUAAGUGUCUGUAUACUAAAUUACGACUGUCAUCACCACUAUCACCACCACCACCUUCAUCACCACCAUCAUGUAAAAGCCAUAUGGAAAGCAGUAUCACCAUCACCACCACCAUCACCACUAAAACUACAGCUACAGAAUGACAAGUAAUGGUCCUCAAAUCCCCCUUCUCCCUCCUCCUCCUCCUCCUCCUUGUCCUCCCCUUCUACUUCCCCCCUACACCUCCCCCUUCCUUUCCCCUCCACCGACACAGCUUACAAAAGAAUCACAGAACAGUAAAUGUAAUACAGGGAGCGAUGAGACAGACAGGCAGACAGACGGACGUGAUAUUCUGUCUGUUUCCGAGUCUUGUUGUUUGCAGAAGUUGGUUGUUUGUUUGUGGUUUUCCGAGAGACAGACGAUUGAUGACUGCCCGUUUCUCAUUGUUAUUCUUAUUAUUGUUAUUUCUUGUUAUUUUCAAAAGAGGAGAAUGUUGUUUUUGUUGUUGUCUGCACAGAAGAGAAAGUUGUUUGUUUGUUUGUGGUUUUCCGGGAGACAGACGAUUGAUGACUGCCCGUUUCUCAUUGUUAUUCUUAUUUUUGUUAUUUCUUGUUAUUUUCAAGAGGAGAAUGUUGUUUUUGUUGUUGUUUGCACAGAAGAGAAAGUUGUUUGUUUGUUUGUGGUUUU